GUUUCCGUAGCUCAGCAGGAUAGAGCGCUCCCCUCCUAAGGGAGAGGCCGUGAGUUCGAAUCUCGCCGGGAACA
rnacentral:tRNA from 1 species